AGUUAUCACCAGCAAUACUAAUUUCGAAAACUUCCUACUCUUAGUGUGUCAAUAUUGGAUUCUCUAGAUCGACAAAUUUCGAGUUAUGUGUUAGUCUUUUUGUCACUGAAAGUGCUCGUCGAAGGUGAAAAUAAAGAAGGCGCACCUUUCUAGAGCCUUGCGCUUGUAAUAAGGUGCAUGCCUAGGCACUUAAGUGAGGGCCUAGUGAAUGUCGCCUACCUUUCUCCCGUAGAGGUACUAGGGUUGGAGCUUGGUGAGCCUCAAGCGUGAGGCACGCCUUUAAUAACUAUGUAUUUAAGAGAGCAAAUCAUGUAUACCAAGUAGCACCUACAUUUAUGUUUCAUGAAAUGUCACAAGUGGAGUUUCAUGUAGUUUUGUGCUAGAGACUUCCUGCCUCGAAUGGGAGGAGCAUGAAAGUUUUAAACUAGGACAUCAGGAGGAUAUAAGGUGUUGCUCAUGUUUUAUUCUACCACAUCAGAUGAGUUGGUUAUGUAUCUUCAGUUUUUGAAGUUAACCUUGAUUAUAA
rnacentral:misc_RNA from 1 species